rnacentral:rRNA from 1 species
AACGCUAGCGGCAGGCUUAACACAUGCAAGUCGAGGGGUAACAUAGGAGUGCUUGCACUCUUGAUGACGACCGGCGGACGGGUGAGUAACGCGUAUAUAACCUACCUUUUAGCGGGGGAUAGCCCAGGGAAACUUGGAUUAAUAUCCCAUGGUAUGUAAGAUCCACCUGGAUUUUACAUUAAACAUUUAUGGCUAUUAGAUGGGUAUGCGUCCUAUUAGUUAGAUGGUAAGGUAACGGCUUACCAUGGCAGCGAUAGGUAGGGGUCCUGAGAGGGAGAUCCCCCACACUGGUACUGAGACACGGACCAGACUCCUACGGGAGGCAGCAGUGAGGAAUAUUGGACAAUGGAGGCAACUCUGAUCCAGCCAUGCCGCGUGCAGGAAGACUGCCCUAUGGGUUGUAAACUGCUUUUACAGAGGAAGAACCACUCCCACGUGUGGGAGUUUGACGGUACUCUGCGAAUAAGGAUCGGCUAACUCCGUGCCAGCAGCCGCGGUAAUACGGAGGAUCCAAGCGUUAUCCGGAAUCAUUGGGUUUAAAGGGUCCGUAGGCGGGAUAAUAAGUCAGUGGUGAAAGUCUGCAGCUUAACUGUAGAAUUGCCAUUGAAACUGUUGUUCUUGAGUUAUUAUGAAGUGGUUAGAAUGAGUAGUGUAGCGGUGAAAUGCAUAGAUAUUACUCAGAAUACCGAUUGCGAAGGCAGAUCACUAAUAAUGAACUGACGCUGAUGGACGAAAGCGUAGGUAGCGAACAGGAUUAGAUACCCUGGUAGUCUACGCCGUAAACGAUGGUUACUAGCUGUCCGGCCUAAUUGAGGGCUGGGUGGUUAAGCGAAAGUGAUAAGUAACCCACCUGGGGAGUACGUUCGCAAGAAUGAAACUCAAAGGAAUUGACGGGGGCCCGCACAAGCGGUGGAGCAUGUGGUUUAAUUCGAUGAUACGCGAGGAACCUUACCAGGGCUUAAAUGUAGUCUGACAGGGCUGGAAACAGCUUUUUCUUCGGACAGAUUACAAGGUGCUGCAUGGUUGUCGUCAGCUCGUGCCGUGAGGUGUCAGGUUAAGUCCUAUAACGAGCGCAACCCCUGUGGUUAGUUGCCAGCACGUAAUGGUGGGAACUCUAGCCAGACUGCCGGUGCAAACCGCGAGGAAGGUGGGGAUGACGUCAAAUCAUCACGGCCCUUACGUCCUGGGCCACACACGUGCUACAAUGGUAGGGACAGAGAGCAGCCACUUCGCGAGAAGGAGCGAAUCUACAAACCCUAUCACAGUUCGGAUCGCAGUCUGCAACUCGACUGCGUGAAGCUGGAAUCGCUAGUAAUCGCAUAUCAGCCAUGAUGCGGUGAAUACGUUCCCGGGCCUUGUACACACCGCCCGUC